rnacentral:tRNA from 1 species
GGCCUCGUAGCUCAACUGAAUAGAGUAUCUGACUACGAAUCAGAGGGUUGUGGGUUUGACUCCCGCCGAGGUCACAA